GACGAACGCUGGCGGCGUGCCUAAUACAUGCAAGUAGAACGCUGAAGGAGGAGCUUGCUUCUCUGGAUGAGUUGCGAACGGGUGAGUAACGCGUAGGUAACCUGCCUGGUAGCGGGGGAUAACUAUUGGAAACGAUAGCUAAUACCGCAUAAGAGUAGAUGUUGCAUGACAUUUGCUUAAAAGUUGCAAUUGCAUCACUACCAGAUGGACCUGCGUUGUAUUAGCUAGUUGGUGGGGUAACGGCUCACCAAGGCGACGAUACAUAGCCGACCUGAGAGGGUGGUCGGCCACACUGGGACGGAGACACGGCCCAGACUCCUACGGGAGGCAGCAGUAGGGAAUCUUCGGCAAUGGACGGAAGUCUGACCGAGCAACGCCGCGUGAGUGAAGAAGGUUUUCGGAUCGUAAAGCUCUGUUGUAAGGGAAGAACGAGUGUGAGAGUGGAAAGUUCACACUGUGACGGUAUCUUACCAGAAAGGGACGGCUAACUACGUG
rnacentral:rRNA from 1 species